AGCGAACGCUGGCGGCAGGCCUAACACAUGCAAGUCGAACGAACCCUUCGGGGUUAGUGGCGGACGGGUGAGUAACACGUGGGAACGUGCCUUUAGGUUCGGAAUAACUCAGGGAAACUUGUGCUAAUACCGAAUGUGCCCUUCGGGGGAAAGAUUUAUCGCCUUUAGAGCGGCCCGCGUCUGAUUAGCUAGUUGGUGAGGUAAUGGCUCACCAAGGCUACGAUCAGUAGCUGGUCUGAGAGGAUGACCAGCCACAUUGGGACUGAGACACGGCCCAAACUCCUACGGGAGGCAGCAGUGGGGAAUCUUGCGCAAUGGGCGAAAGCCUGACGCAGCCAUGCCGCGUGGAUGAUGAAGGUCUUAGGAUUGUAAAAUCCUCUCACCGGCGAAGAUAAUGACUGUAGCCGGAGAAGAAGCCCCGGCUAACUUCGUGCCAGCAGCCGCGGUAACAC
rnacentral:rRNA from 1 species